UACAGAGACUGCAAGCGUUAUUCGGAUUCAUUGGGCGUAAAGGGUGCGUAUGCGGCGCGGUAAGUCGGGUGUGAAAUCUCGGAGCUUAACUCCGAAACUGCAUUCGAUACUGCCGUGCUUGAGGACUGGAGAGGAGACUGGAAUUCAUGGUGUAGCAGUGAAAUGCGUAGAGAUCAUGAGGAAGACCAGUGGCGAAGGCGGGUCUCUGGACAGUUCCUGACACUGAGGCACGAAGGCCAGGGGAGCAAACGGG
rnacentral:rRNA from 1 species